UACGUGAGGGGGCAAGCGUUGUCCGGAUUCAUUGGGCGUAAAGAGCGUGUAGGCGGCCAGGUAGGUUCGGUUGUGGAAAACUGGAGGCUCAACCUUCAGAGGUCGACCGAAACCAUCUGGCUAGAGUCCGGGAGAGGGAGAGUGGAAUUCCGUGGUGUAGCGGUGAAAUGACGCAGAUAUCAGGAAGAACACCCGUGGCGAAAGCGGCUCUCUGGAACGGUACUGACGCUGAGACGCGAAAGCGUGGGGAGCGAACAGG
rnacentral:rRNA from 1 species